UCUGGUAGGUUAGGAUUGGACUCUUGCACCUCCAUAGAUUGGCUUCAGAAUCUUAUUAUGUUUCUUCACCAAUAGUGGUUUAAAUGUUUACCUUGUUUCCUGAGUAUGAUGGUGGUUUUCUGGUUCCUUGAUCUAAGGAUCUAUUUUUUGUGGAUGGUGGAUCUGGUUGGUUAGAGGUCUAGUAUGAGACUAUCAAUAUAGUUCUGUCGCAACUGUGUUUUU
rnacentral:lncRNA from 1 species